AUUAGAAUGCGCUGCCGUUAGUUCACGUUUUUUUGCGUUUGGAGUAUUGACCAAUCAGUGGCCUCGAUACUCAGCGACAUCAACAAGCGGCUUUCUGUAAAAUUUGUGUUGUUUCUGACUGAAAGAUUCGCGCAUGAUUUGAUGGGUUUUUAUGACGUCAUGAUGUUUGUUGCUGUUUUCUGUCAGGUCUGAACAGCAACAGACAAACGUGUCGGUGCGAUAGAUAACGUUAGCGUCUACUUUAGCAUUUAGCAUGUAGCAUUACGUGUAUGUGCUUAGUGACUCACACUGUGAGUGCGGGUUUGACACAAAUCUUUAUUACUAUAUAUAUAUACUUCUAAGUUCCUGACAAAUUUUGGUGAGUUAACAAACAGUUCACCUUCUUCUCAUGUAACGAACUACGUCAUAUCCGGUCUUUAUCGCCCGCACUUCCUGUACACAGUUGCAUGAUUAUCUGUAUUAAAGGUAAAAUUCUCACUGAAACACAACGACACGUUUGUGUUGUAGUUUUUUUCGCUUUACCGCACAACUGCAACACCGGCCCGAGUUUGUUGUUGUGUUUGUUUUAUUCCUGCGUGAGAAGCCAGAGGUUGUGUGUCGUGAUGACGUCACGUGGGGACACCAGCAGUCCCCAAUGAUGUUUAGAAAAAAAGAGAAAACACAAAUCAACAAGUGUGGCCUUUUAAAUCUCAUACUUAUUGACUGGGUCAUAUCCUAUUGCAUGUCAUAUUGUGGCACGGAAUUAAAAUUCUGAUUCACCAAAGGUUUGAGACGUCAUGGCGUAUCCUCCGAGUAAGCGUCACAGAGGAUCGAACAGCGAAGAUCUACCUGGGACAGACACCUUCGGGGACGAAGAAGACUUUACGCAAGAUGACUUGGAGGAAAUCGACAUCAUCGCAUCACAGGCCAUCACAAGAGAUGCUCAAGCCACAAGCAGUAAGAGAGGUUUUGCAUCUGUUGCUGAUUAUCCAGAGCAGAACAAAGCACCUAUAAGAGAAGGCAGGAAAACCUUCACCAUUGGAAACAGCCAUCCUGGCAGCAUCAUGACUAACAGCAAGGAAGCGAAAAGAAAUGAUACUUCUGGAAAUGGCCAAGAAAGAGCUGAACUCUACUACAGCCGCCUGGAAGCACAGCAAGCAGAGUUAAAGAGAAAGCUGAAGGAGGUAGAGGAGCAGAUUCUGAUGAAGAACGGUGAAAUCCGUGUUCUGCGAGACUCCCUCAGACUGGCGAAUCAGGAGAAGGAGCAGCAGAGGCAGACUCACCUCCAGCUGGACAGAGAUAAAGCUCAUAUCCAGAGUGAAAAAGAGAAGGCGCUUUCAAAGAAGGUAGAGUCUUUAAAAUCCGAGUUGCACUUUAAGCAAGCUGAGAUGAAUGAGAUGAGGAUUAAACUGCAGAGCUCUGAGCGUGGUGUGAAGUGCGUUGGCACGCCUGUAAGAAACAGUGUGAACUCCACCGGAAGCCGUGCGUUUGUGAGUAAGGAAUCCUUCUCAGCUGACCUGCCUGUAAAACCAUCAGCUGCUAAGAGCCAGCACACAGAGGGUGGGAAACAAAACCAAGAGAAAGGUGAUAAUAAACAUAUGAACUCCGCUGCAACCCGGGAUGCAGACGGGAUUCAUCAAAAAGGACCUGUAUUAUUGAAUCUGCUGCUUCAGCACCCUUUGGAGCCAAGCUCUUUAGGCCUUUGUCAUUUGUUGUGCAUCAGUCCAGAUGCUCUGCCUGCUAUGUUCACCCAGUCAGUCUACACUAGUCCCACAUCUUCAGUUGGUUCCAGCACGUCCUCUACGGAUACCCGGCUGCUCCACCAGCCUCGAGUGCACUUCUAUCAGCAUCAGAGUCUGGCUAUGUCAGGACUGGCCAUGCUAACACACUGUGCUCCCACUCAGUUCCUAAGAAGGUCCUGCCCCCCUGCUGUACACCUCCUUCCUUUACUUCACUACCACAUUAGCCUUUACUGCCAGACCCUCGAGACCAUUGACAGGUCAGGAAAGAAUCCACUUCAAUCCGGCGCACUAUCAGCAGGAGCCUCAGACGGCAGCUCUGCUUCCACAGUCGAGGAGUCUUUAGGUGCUCAAGAGGAGUUUGCCUUGGCGGCUAUAAAAGCUCUUUAUCACAUUGUGUGUGAAAGCAGUGAAGCCGUAAACUCUGUUCUGGCUGUUCAAGAGGGAAAGGAUUCAGAAAAGCCCAGUGAAAACCGACUCCGGCAACCUCAGACUACAGGUCACGGCAGCACCGUAGAGAACGCCUGUGAUGAACUGCAGUCACACAGUCCUCUGCUCAAGAAGCUCUUCCAGUUGGUGGAUUUAAAGUUUGUCAUUAACGCGAAUCAGAGAAAAGCUGUGGUGAACUGCUGUCUCAGGACUCUGUGUGCACUGGCUGAGAGAGCAGAGGAGAGCCAACUGUGGAGAUUGCAGGCGGUGUUGGCAAAUCUGACUGUGACCCAAAACCUGUCUCUGGAAUCUCCAUACAGCACCAUGUGGCUCUUUGUGAGAUUGCUGGCACUUCUGUUGGAUUGUGACAAAAUAGCGAACAAGCUUUGCUCUCAUAACUAUGUUUGCCCAUUUGUAAGACUUUUCCAGUAUGUGACCUCCAGAUCAAAUAAAGUCGUUACUGAAGACAUGUGGUCACGUUUGGAAGUUGAGUUUUUUGGUCACAGGUUGUCCGAUUGCUGUCCAAGCUGUUUAUGCAGAAGACAUCAACAUGGGCUGCUCUCAGUGCUGAAUCCAACUGCCCCUGCAGCAGUGAGGUUGUCCGGACGGUGGUGGUGGUCUUACACAGACAGUGGCUUAGUAUCAAAGGUCAGGAGAAGCACGUAGGUGGUGUUCAGACGUGGAUGAGUCCAGGUGUUCACUCACUGAGGGAGUCUCUGCUGUUACUGCACUGGCUCCUCCUCAAUGACUCGUCUUUCUCCAUGCACUGCCUGGAUGUGUUGCACAUGUACCAUCAGGUCAUCCCAGCCAUCCGAGACACACUCCGUAGGAUCCCUGACCUCUCAGAGAGCGAAGAACUGGCUAUAGAGGAGAUCUGUCGACCAGAUGCAGAGGAAGUGGAAGAUAUGGAUAUGGACGCAGGUUCUUGACCAGAAGGGAGGAUUUAGAAUGCUGACAAGCAUCCAAGUGUUUCUUUUGGUUGUCUUUUGUCUGUUAAUUUUCACCACUAUCCUUAAUUAAAGCAAACUGAAAGUG